GAUCAUGGCUCAGGAUGAGCGCUAGCGACAGGCUUAACACAUGCAAGUCGAGGGGCAGCGGGGAGUAGCAAUACUCUGCCGGCGACCGGCGCACGGGUGAGUAACGCGUAUGCAACUUGCCUAUCAGAGGAGAAUAGCUCAUCGAAAGAUGAAUUAAUGCUCCAUGAAAACGNGGGUCUCGCAGUAGGUAAUUAUUUAGUAAAGUAUUCAUCGCUGAUAG
rnacentral:rRNA from 1 species